GCCAGCAGCAGCGGUAAUACGAGGACCCCGAGCGUUAUCCGGAAUUACUGGGCGUAAAGAGCGAGUAGCCGGCUGUAUUAGUCCGAUGUUAAAUCCUCUGGCUUAACUGGAGGGCCGCAUUGGAAACGGUAUAGCUUGAGCGACUGAGAGGCACGCGGAACGUGCGGUGUAGGGGUGAAAUCCAUUGAUAUUGCACGGAACACCAAAAGCGAAGGCAGCGUGCUAGUAGUCUGCUGACGGUCAAUCGCGAAAGCGUGGGGAUAAAAAAGGAUUAGAUACCCUUGUAUUCCACGCCCUAAACUAUGCUGACUAGCUAUCGGGAGCAUCG
rnacentral:rRNA from 1 species